rnacentral:lncRNA from 1 species
GGCUCCAUAUACCAGUGAGAGUGCUGGACUGACAGUAACUAGAAAAUAAAUUAAAAUUAAAGAAAAACCCAUUUGAGAUUAAAUAAUUUGUUAAAAAUUAUAAAUAAAACUAAAACAUAUAAUUAAUCAUGAUUAAUCAUUUCAAAACAUAAUUUUUGCUAGAUCCUUUUAAUCUCAUUGAAUGAUGUAGUGAUAUUUAAUUGGGUGGUCUAAAGUCCAUAAUCCGAUUGG